GCUGAAAUAAUUAUUCGUGAUGUUUUUCAAAUUCUCUAAUUUUGUGGAAUGAACAUACAUCAAAGACUCAACCAAGAUUGUCAUCACCCUGGUUAAAGAUACCUGGCUCCCAGCUGGUGGUCAUUGAACACUCCAGAAAUCCAACCGCAACAAGGGAUGUACUGACUGCUUGCGGCUCAGAUGUCCCUGGACUGACUCAGUGGACUCCCCCUAUUUACAACAAAUGCCCUGUUACCUGCAGUGAACAGUCAAGGCCCAGAUAUGUGUAAUUUUGAACCCAACCCCGACAGCCAACAAUGACAAAAGGAAAUAGACAUAUGAUUAGCAAACCUGCUGGAGGAGACAAAGAUGAGGCUGGAUAAAGGUGAUGGUUUUUGGUUUUCACUAUGGCCUUAAUGCUGGACAGGUAAUCUAGGUUUUGUUUUACAGCAACUUGGUGUGGACUUCAGGCAAAGCAUUAAAUUCUCUUGGCCUUUAUUUCUUCAUUUGUAAAUAAAAGAUUUUGAUAAAAUAUUCCCGAAAUUCA
rnacentral:lncRNA from 1 species